AGCAAACAAGGUUAUAUAAUUCAACUCAUCUAUAAUACAACUUUCAAUUUAACUAAUAUGCUCUUGGUAUUUUAAGCCUCAACUUGAUUGUAGCUGCCCUGAGAUUACUUCUGUUAUUUUCUUUGCAGCUCAUGGUUACAUAAUUCUUCUUCGCAAGUGGCAUGAAGUUCAAUGAUGCGUGUACUGCUUCUUCUAGUUGGCUUGGUAAUUGAGGAAUUGGUGAAGCAGCUUUAGUAUUAAAGUGUUUCUUUUCCAUAGACAUAUUCAUAUUGUAACACCUAUUGAAUUAUUGCUGCUGAGCAAUUUGACAGCGAAUUUGUACAUACUAUAUAUAAUGAUGAGCUCUGGUUGAC